UGAAGGAUCGCUCUCUCAACCAACCAUUAGAGAUUCUAUUUCUGGCAAACGUCCUAAGAUUUCUAUUACGCAGUCACAGUUUGAUGAGCAGCUUCUUGAUAAUAUGGUAGGAAGCCUUCUGCCUAUUAGGCAUGUUGACAGUAAAGAAUUCCAAACUUUUUGUAAUGGAAUAUCUCAUGGAAACUUCAAAAUUAUGUGCAGACAGACUAUCGCAAAAAAGAUUGAAGACAGGUUUCAAGUAUCAAAACAAGCACUAGCCCAAAUUUUGUCUUAGAAGUUAACCUCCAUAUGCACGACAGCUGAUGUGUGGAAAUCUCGUGGUCGAUCCUACAUCGGUGUUACCUGUCACUUUGGCUUGACACCGAAACUCUUCUUAGGAAAAGUGCAUGUCUCGCGGUGAGACGUGUCUUUGGAAGUCAUACAUAUGACGUUGUAGCCAAGACUUUAUCGACUGUGCAUAAAGAAUUAAAGAUUUCCCGCAAAAUUGUUGUUACAAUAGCUGACAGUGGAUCUAACUUUCUUAAAGCUUUCCGGGUUUUUUCUCGUGAAAAUGAUGUUCAGGUUGAUGAAGAUGUUGAUGAGGAAUACGAAGAUGAGGAAAUCGACUUAGUUGAGAUUGAUCAUGUCCUAGACGAAUGGCAUGGUAAUGUGAACCAAGAGAUCUAUCCUCUGCCACCUCAUAGAAAAUGCGCCUGCCAUUUGUUGAACUUGGUUGCAGCAGUUGACUGCGAAAACGCUCUCAAACGUGAUUCUUAUUCAUCACUUCAUCGAUCUACAUUUGCAAAGCUUCAUACUCUUUUUAAUAAGCAGAGUCGUAGUACCUUAGCUGCAGAAAAGACAAAAGAACAAUUGGGUAUUAUUUUGUUUUCUUUGUUGUCUUGAUAAAAAAGUUAGCUUAUUCUUUUCUAUAGGUGUUCUGUUUGUCAU